AGCAAUAUCUGGAUUUAAAUUAGAUGAGCAGGACCCACUAGAAGAAAAAGUACUGCGUAAAUCACACAGAUCUGAAGCAAAGUCCCCUACAGAAAUACUGGAUGUCUUGGCAAAAAGUCUUACAGCCCAUGAGAAACUGAGGCAGUAAGAGGCCAAGUGACUUUCUACCAGACCAUUUGUUUCUCAGAUCAUAAGUACCUUAAGCAGCAGGACAAAUCUUGCGCUCUUCAAGGUUUGAAAUUACCAAAAGUGAGCUGCUUUAUUUACAUGUCAAAUUUCAACCUGGAAGUCAGUGAAAAUCACACCGCCUAGAAGGAUUGUAAACCAAACAGAUACUGGAAUAAGUCCAAUGAAAUUGACGACAAUGGUUUUUCUUCCUGAUGUGCCCCAUCCUGCUUUGUUUAUUGUGGCUAUUGCAAACAUCUUCGCU